CGAUGAUCCGCGAUGCUUGCUGGCGGGGGAUUAGUGGCGAACGGGUGAGUAACACGUGAGUAACCUGCCCUUGACUCUGGGAUAAGCCUGGGAAACUGGGUCUAAUACCGGAUAUGACUCCUCAUCGCAUGGUGGGGGGUGGAAAGCUUUUGUGGUUUUGGAUGGACUCGCGGCCUAUCAGCUUGUUGGUGAGGUAAUGGCUCACCAAGGCGACGACGGGUAGCCGGCCUGAGAGGGUGACCGGCCACACUGGGACUGAGACACGGCCCAGACUCCUACGGGAGGCAGCAGUGGGGAAUAUUGCACAAUGGGCGCAAGCCUGAUGCAGCGACGCCGCGUGAGGGAUGACGGCCUUCGGGUUGUAAACCUCUUUCAGUAGGGAAGAAGCGAAAGUGACGGUACCUGCAGAAGAAGCGCCGGCUAACUACGUGCCAGCAGCCGCGGUAAUACGUAGGGCGCAAGCGUUAUCCGGAAUUAUUGGGCGUAAAGAGCUCGUAGGCGGUUUGUCGCGUCUGCCGUGAAAGUCCGGGGCUCAACUCCGGAUCUGCGGUGGGUACGGGCAGGCUAGAGUGAUGUAGGGGAGACUGGAAUUCCUGGUGUAGCGGUGAAAUGCGCAGAUAUCAGGAGGAACACCGAUGGCGAAGGCAGGUCUCUGGGCAUUAACUGACGCUGAGGAGCGAAAGCAUGGGGAGCGAACAGGAUU
rnacentral:rRNA from 1 species